UGCACCUGAAGCAAGGAACUAAAAUAUUAUUUCAUGGGCAAAGCCUAAAUACUGUGAGAUGAAUUUGCAAGUAGGCUUGAACCACUUUCCACAGGAGUUAGUGUAAGAAACAUCACAUAGUCAAAUGUCUGUGGCUCCAAGACCCACAGGUCAUUAUUACAUUGCAUUUAAUGUGGUGCCCAGUGCUUUCACUUCAUCAGAGUUAUCACAGAUAUCACUGACAUCAACACCAACAUGAACUCACACAUGUGUGCCUUGAUCCAAAUAAUUCAUGAACACAUUACAAAUUACAGCUCUAGAUGUUUUAGGAUUAUUGUAACAUCUGCAUUUUCGCCCAGAAGGCAAGAGACCACCUGGGGUAUGGUGAGCUGGUUUCAGCCUGGGCACUUCAGGGAACACUACUUUACAUAUCCUUGACUUGUUUCUGGGUGAAAACUGAAGUGAAAUGUUGAUCUGCUCCCCUGAACCCUUGCAGUCCAAGGUUUGCUGUUUGUAGGUAUCUUUGUAGCACCACCAAUUUAUAGCUGUGGGAGUGAAGGCCCUCCCACCACACAGAGCAGGUUCAGGACCAUCUGAUGAAAGUGAAUAGCCACAAGUGUCUAGGACCUGGUGAGAUGCAUCCCAGGGUCCUGAGGACACUGGCUGAUGUUGUUGCCAAGCCACUUUCCAUCAUAUUUGAAAAGUCACAGUGGUCAAGCAAAGUUCCCUCGUGACUGCAAUAAAAGGGAAACGUUGCUCCUGAUUGCAAAAAGGAGAGAAAGGAAGAUAUGAGAAAUUCUUUACUCAGAAUUCUUUACUGUGAGGGUGCUGAGGCACUGGCCCAGGCUGCCCAGAGAAGCUGUGGGUGCCCUGUUCCUGGAACAGGAACAGGCUGGAUGGGGCCCUGAGCAUCCUGGUCUAGCAGAAGGUGUCCCUGCCCAUGGCAAGGUUCCUAAGGUUUCUAAGGUUCCUUCCAACCUAAACCAUUAUAUGAUUUUAUGAAAUGUACCACAGAAGUGUGGCUGAUAAAAUAAUAGCUCUCUGGAUAGAGUGCCCAGAAAGUUAAACAAAUAAUUCUGGCCUUGCAAAGUUCAUUCAACAAUUGAAUAAGGAGCAAAUACAUGCAUUGGCUAUGACAUAAGGAAAAACAAACAUUGACAUUCUGGUUUUAAUACAACUUGUAAAACCAAAAUAAAUAAAAAGUGAAUUUGAAUACAAAGACCAAUCUUAUGAAAGUCCAUUCUUUGGCAUGCUGUUAGGAACAUUUGCUCUUGCAUGGAUUUUGAAGUCUCUCUGGCUCGCUGCUGCUCUGCACGUACCUCGGAGGACAAGAACCUGCCACUGACUUUCCAGAUGCAGCAGGACAUGACACGUGGGACAGAAAGGAUUAUUGUGAGCAUGUACAUAAAUACAGCUUUUACAUCAUUUUACCUGUGUGGGGUAUGGCAUUUCAUAUACCAAUACAUGGUAAGUUAACCAGCACCCAGAAUUUAAUUCAUCCUCCAAACUGAUGCCUAGAGAGGCUGUCUGGAACAGAGGCUAGGCAGUGCUAAAGGAAUAAAGAAGGUAUUUAUUAAAAGGCCUUCAAAGGAUUCACCUUGGGCAGUACAAGAGCCUGGCCAUGGCUCCACCCAAGAUGGACCCAAGAUGGACAGUGUGUCACAAGUUUUCACACUUUUAUAAGUUUUGGUCCAUUUACAUAUUGGGGUUAAUUGUUCAAUUACAGCUUCAGAUUAUGAAGUCCCAUCCUCCCAGGUUGCUCUCCUGAAUUCACUGCUCUUUACACUUUUAGGGCCCAAAGCUGCAAUGGUGUCCUUGAUUCUCAGGCUGGGAAAGGAUUGUUUUGUCUAACUAAACUGUGAGGAGAAUUUGCUAACACUUCAUAUGAAGUUCAGAGUCACGCAUCAAAGCAUUACAGAAUCUUAAAAAUAUAAAAGCUAAAACUCAAGGCACCAAAAUCAUUAAAAAAUAUGGUGCAAUUAAACAAUACCUAAGAAGCAAGCAUAAAUAUUUUGCUUUGGGAAUGCCCACUGAACAGAUGAAGUAACUACAACUGAUGUCCUCUUCCUGGUCCUAUCAAAAAACACUGGGGUAAAAGUGAAAGGUUUGUACAUACCCACAUCUUCCCUUCCCACUGGAGCACUUUUCAGCUAGCCUGAACUGCUGGGAGAAUUCACAGAGAUGGGCAUUUUAUCAGACCGUGGUCUUCCAUUUGUGAGAUACAGUAAGUUUAAUUCUUCCUUCAUGGGUCCCUGAAUCGCACCAGUUUUCCUGCUCAUUCCCCUUCUUGUUUCAUGUUUUCAAUAUUUCUUAUUAGUGAGCUUAUGGAUUUUUUCAUCCCUUUAUCUUGGCUUCCCACUGAAGCCUGACCUCCUUCAUGUCCAAGGUUUGGACUCUGAUACAACUUGCAGCCAUCCCACUAUUGGAAAGGGCAAAAAAAGCAGAGUGUUUGCCCAGGAAUGGGUGUUUGUGCAGAAACUGCCUGCAGCCAGCCCUGUUGCUCUGGGAAUUCAGGAUGGAAUCAAGUCAGUGACUAUUUUUUAUGACAGUCACAACAGAACUAGUGACCUAGUGUGAGAAUGGAAACCCUCUGGAGUCUUUCUGACUACUAGUGUAUUCCACUUCCUGUGGAAACACAAACAUCAGAUGAGCCAUUGCAAGCAGAUUCCUCUUUAUGGUUACCUGCCUUCCCAAAUGCCCAAUUUGUUAUGGAAUGUUUGUAAAUUUCUGUGGAGAAUGAUUUCAUUUUAUCAUACAAGCUUCAGUCCAUCUUAGCAAUACUAUUGCUGCAGAGUGGAAGGGACUGAGCUGGAAAGGACUGUUGGACUAAUCAGCCAUGGCACAAAGCAAAAGAGAACACUUUUGAGUAAAUGGAGGGCACUAUGUGAAAGCUUGUUUCCAGAAUCACACCAUGGGGCUGAUGGGCUGGUUCAAAAACACACAAACACUUACAGGCUCUCCCAUCAGAGAGGUGGGAUUCGAUGGCACACAGGGGAGCUGUCUGCAGCCAGAGCUGCCCAGCUGCCCUGGUGGCAGUGAGGCUUCUCUGUGCUUUCAGGGAAAUGGUAACCAGCAAGUCAGAGGCAGCCACACAAGGUUCUCCUAUUUUAGCUUUGCUUGGUGUUUUCUUCCCAUCAGGUGUGGUGUGCAAUCAGUACGUUUUUCUGUUUACACAAGCAAAUUCUGCUGGGUGGGGCCUGUUGAGUUAACCUGUCUGUAAAAUAAGAGGGAGCAGCUGAUGGCCUGAAAUCCAGGCAAAGCUGAUGCAGCCAUGGCAUUCAGCUCUCCCAAGAUGUGAGCACAGGCUGCUACCUGAAAGGAUGUAUGUGACAGGUUUUAUCUGAGGAGCUCAGACACUGCUGGCCAUGUUCUUUUCUACCCAGACACUUUGUAAUGCAUUCUUCAGAUUAAGGUUGUAAAUGAAAAGUCAUCUCUUAUUUAA